GACGAACGCUGGCGGCGUGCCUAAUACAUGCAAGUUGAGCGCUGAAGGUUGGUACUUGUACCAACUGGAUGAGCAGCGAACGGGUGAGUAACGCGUGGGGAAUCUGCCUUUGAGCGGGGGACAACAUUUAGAAACGAAUGCUAAUACCGCAUAAAAACUUUAAACACAAGUUUUAAGUUUGAAAGAUGCAAUUGCAUCACUCAAAGAUGAUCCCGCGUUGUAUUAGCUAGUUGGUGAGGUAAAGGCUCACCAAGGCGAUGAUACAUAGCCGACCUGAGAGGGUGAUCGGCCACAUUGGGACUGAGACACGGCCCAAACUCCUACGGGAGGCAGCAGUAGGGAAUCUUCGGCAAUGGACGAAAGUCUGACCGAGCAACGCCGCGUGAGUGAAGAAGGUUGUCGGAUCGUAAAACUCUGUUGGUAGAGAAGAACGUUGGUGAGAGUGGAAAGCUCAUCAAGUGACGGUAACUACCCAGAAAGGGACGGCUAACUACGUG
rnacentral:rRNA from 1 species